UACAGAGGUCUCAAGCGUUGUUCGGAUUCAUUGGGCGUAAAGGGUGUGUAGGUGGCGCCGUUAGUCGGGUGUGAAAUUUCGGAGCUUAACUCCGAAACUGCAUUCGAUACUGCGGUGCUUGAGGACUGGAGAGGAGACUGGAAUUCAUGGUGUAGCAGUGAAAUGCGUAGAGAUCAUGAGGAAGACCAGUGGCGAAGGCGAAUCUCUGGACAGUUACUGACACUGAGGCACGAA
rnacentral:rRNA from 1 species